rnacentral:rRNA from 1 species
ACGCUCGACACCUACGGGGGGCAGCAGUGGGGAAUAUUGCACAAUGGGGGAAACCCUGAUGCAGCGACGCCGCGUGGAGGAAGAAGGUCUUCGGAUUGUAAACUCCUGUUGUUGGGGAAAAAGAGGAUGGUACCCAACAAGGAAGUGACGGCUAACUACGUGCCAGCAGCCUCGGUAAUCUGAGCGGGCUGGCAAGGC